GGGACAAAGCCCGUAAUCCUACCA
rnacentral:siRNA from 1 species